UCAAGGAAUUGAAUCGGGCAAUGUCAGAAAAUGAAAACUUAUGUAGCCAUUCUCUUUGGAGCAUGAUCAUUUAAAUAGCAUGUAAAUCUAUUUUUUCCCUGCUGUUUGUAAUAUCAGUAACAUCCUCAGAAGGUGGUACUGAGAGUAGAUCUGAAAUUAGGAAUGUAUAUUGCAUAGGGAAUAUCAUUAACUAUUUGCUAUUUAUCCCAAUCUCGUGGAAAAAAACCUGAACACAGUUAAUACUGACAAACUUGUAGGUAAGAGUUCAAAUCAAAUCCUGAGAGCAACUACUGGACUUUGAAUGAUUUGGAGCAGAGCUUGGAGCAGUAUUUCAUACUCACUUCUUAUAGCCAUAGUGGAUCAAAUCAGAAGUCUGUUUCAUAUUUUCUUUGAAUUAUGUGAGUUCGAAAUCCUGAUCAUAACGUUGCUACUCAGUGGAUAUGUAUUCAUUGGCAUUAGCAUUUCUGAAUGGAUUAACUCAGCCAUUGUGAAAAACAGAUUCUGCAGUUUACUUAAAGAUAAGCAUGAGCAGCGUCAGGUCAAACAUUUUGGAAAUUUCCCAACAGAAAAGGCUCGCUCAUGGAAACUAAAUGUUCUGUAGAAAAGCUGUGAAUUUGAUGAAACUAUUGAAAAGAAGCCAGCAGGCAUUUGACCAAAAUCUUGCUAUUUUUCUGUCAGUUCACCUAUCUUUCUUUCCCCUCCUAGGCAAUAUCAGCCUCCAUGGGCUUGCAGAAGGACUGGGAAAAAGAAAACAACAACAAGAUGUUGAUAUGAACAAAUGCUGACUACAGCAUGCUGCAGCCCAGAACAGACCCAAACACUUUGGAGAAAUCCAGAUCAGAACUCCGCAGUCAGCCUUCCUGCAAACCUAAUCACAAACAGCAAAACACUAGCUCUGCUGUCAUCCUGAAGAAAAAGCCUUUUUACCUUAUAAGCUGUCAAUUUCAUACAUGGGCUUGAUUUAGCAGCAAGAACUCCCAGGAGCUGGGGUUUCUUCAGUGCCCAGGCUCAUCCUUGCUGCUGCCACCUUCUGCCUUCUCUGUGCGAGCAAUGCAGCUGCAGAAGGGCUGUGUGGAGCAGGCCAUGCACUUGAUCCGGAAGUAUGGCCCCGAGGCAGGUCUGGUCUUCUUCCGCAAGCAGCACGUGAUGGUAACACUGCUGGUAACAGUGAGAAGAGACUCAACCUCGGUGCAGUCAGGGCUGUGCUGGGCAGGAGAACACCCUUCACAUUCCCAGAUAUGUCUCUAUCUGUAGUGCACAACUGCAUGGGUGGGUCACGCUG
rnacentral:lncRNA from 1 species